rnacentral:misc_RNA from 1 species
CAUAUAGCCGACCCCAAAUUUUUAUGAUAAAGACUUAAUUGAGUUUAGUUAAGUAUAAAAAAAAAUAAAAAACCGCAGAUGUCGUUCCCAAUCCCACAAGUCCAGCUUCCAAUUUGAAACGUGAUAAUGUAAAGCAGCUAAAGCAUAUAGCAAUUUUUUUUGAGGCUGAAGCCUUUUUCACAUAUUCGGAUGUACUGUGGCAAAACCUAACCAAGCCAAAAGUAGCCACCUCUGAUGGUGAUAUUACACAGCUUAGAGCCACCAUGCUUUACUUCCUCUUUCAUUUGCCUUUUGUUAGGAGAAAGUGAUGGAUAACCAAGAGAAAUCACCAAAAACAAGUACCAUGCAUCUAAAACCUUCAAGGAGUUGUCCAUUCCACAAAUAACAGAAACUUCCUUUUGCAUAAUCUACUAUAUCAAUGCAUCUCAAGUAUAUCACCUAUCGACACAUCUCCUUUUUCAGAAUAUUACCAUGUGAAACUUCCCCCAAAGAACUGGUAGUUGCAAAAAACUCGUCUGCCCAUUGCUGAAUCCAUAUGUGAAUUCAUUGUACAUGGAUAUCCAAGAUGGGUCUCAAGCAACAAUAUGUCAGACCCAACAAAUCUUUGACAUCAAUAGGCGCCUCAAAGACUACUGUACCAAAAUGUUACCGUGGUUGAACCACCACCUUAGCUCACACUGUAAACAGAACUCAAAAAUCCAACUAAAUUUAAUGACAUAGAAGACAGACAACACAUGUUAAAUCUGCCCUAACCCGAGCACAAAGAUCACGAAAAAUACACUCUAACAUCCUCUAAAGCAAGAAGUUUACCAUCUAAGUUGAAACCAGUUUAACUGGUCUACAGCACGGUCCAAUAACCCUCUUAACUUAGUUGAUUCAACAAGGCUCAAAACCCUCCCCAAGAAUCUGAGUAGAGUCACUAAUCACCAGCAAGUUUGAUAACAACAGUACCCACUUAUCCAAGACUGCUAUACUCACUAAAUGCCACAGGCCACUUGGAAUCAUGAGGCCGAAAUAACUUGAUUACCAGGACUACCACAAUUCAUACCUAAUCCUCCUUCAAAAGUUUGCCAAUUAUUAAACCAGCAUCAGUAAUCGCAUAACAGUGAACUGUCCACCAAACUAAUAGUAAGGCACUCAUUUAUUGCUAAAUAAAUACAGGUACCUGUCCAACAAGAAUUUCAUUCUGUAAUUGACACAUUGUGAUACAAAAUAUAGAGCAACUAUUACCGAUGAUCAGCAAGUGUUAAUUGAGCUGUUAAUUAAUCACAUCUACUAAAUAAGCAUUAAAAACCAAUUACAAGAGUUCUUUAAAGAAAAGAUCACAAAUGAAAUAUAAAAUCAAUGUCAUGUACAAAUAAAAAAAAUA